rnacentral:rRNA from 1 species
GACGAACGCUGGCGGCGGGCUUAAAACAUGCAAGUCGAACGAGUGGCGAAAGGGUGAGUAACACGUGGGGGAACUGCCUUGCACGUCGGGAAAAGCUUGGGAAACUGGGUCUAAAAACGGAGAGUGCAAGAUGAGCUCGCGGCCUAUCUGCUUGUUGGUGGGGUAAUGGCUCCCAAGGCGGGACGGGUCGCCGGCCUGAGAGGGUGUACGGCCACAUUGGGACUGAGCUACGGCCCAGACUCCUACGUGAGGCAGCAGUGGGGAAUAUUGCACAAUGGGCGGAAGCCUGAUGCAGCGACGCCGCGUGGGUGAUGUAGGCCUUCGGGUUGUAAACUCCUUUCGACAGGGACGCGGUACCUGUAUAAGAAGCACCGGCUAACUACGUGCCAGCAGCCGCGGUAAUAC